rnacentral:tRNA from 2 species
AUUGGUGUAGCUCAAUUGGUAGAGCGACGGAUUCCAAAUCCGUUGGUUGGGGGUUCGAGUCCCUUCACCUUUGCCA